rnacentral:rRNA from 1 species
AACGCGUAUACAAUCUGCCUUUAAGCGGGGAAUAGCCCAUGGAAACGUGGAUUAAUACCCCAUAGUAUGUAGACUUCACCUGGAGACUACAUUAAACAUUUAUGGCUUAAAGAUGAGUAUGCGUCCUAUUAGUUAGUUGGUAAGGUAACGGCUUACCAAGACGGCGAUAGGUAGGGGUCCUGAGAGGGAGAUCCCCCACACUGGUACUGAGACACGGACCAGACUCCUACGGGAGGCAGCAGUGAGGAAUAUUGGACAAUGGAGGCAACUCUGAUCCAGCCAUGCCGCGUGCAGGAAGACGGCCCUAUGGGUUGUAAACUGCUUUUAUACGGGAAGAACCACAUCUACGUGUAGAUGCUUGACGGUACCGUAUGAAUAAGGACCGGCUAACUCCGUGCCAGCAGCCGCGGUAAUACGGAGGGUCCAAGCGUUAUCCGGAAUCAUUGGGUUUAAAGGGUCCGUAGGCGGGAUAAUAAGUCAGUGGUGAAAGUCUGCAGCUCAACUGUAGAAUUGCCAUUGAUACUGUUGUUCUUGAAUUAUUAUGAAGUGGUUGGAAUGAGUAGUGUAGCGGUGAAAUGCAUAGAUAUUACUCAGAACACCUAUUGCGAAGGCAGAUCACUAAUAAUAUAUUGACGCUGAGGGACGAAAGCGUAGGUAGCGAACAGGAUUAGAUACCCUGGUAGUCUACGCCGUAUACGAUGGUUACUAGCUGUUCGGCUCGAUUGAGAGCUGAGUGGUUAAGCGAAAGUGAUAAGUAACCCACCUGGGGAGUACGUUCGCAAGAAUGAAACUCA